GAUUGUUUGUUCCACUGAGUGCUGUAUUUUAAAGUUGUUUGGCUUUUGAUUAUGUUCUGUUAGAAUCUUUGCAUUGGUGUUUCAUGUUUUGUGUUUUAGUUGUAGUUCUUUACUUGUAUUGUAUGAGAUUGUGUUUGUGCCUGCUGAGGUUUUAAGAAGGUUUGGAGCGUACAUGGAAACAUCAGAUGCAAAGCAGGAAUACCCCGGACAGGAGGAACUUCCGUUUUCAUUUUGUCCCUCUUAACUUUUGUGUGAUGAUUUGAUGGCAUUCAGCAAUAAAAGCAUGCAGUUUAGGUGAAGCCAGGAUGUUGGCUGAUCCCCCACCUUAAAUCAUCUUCAACUCAUCCACAACUCCACAAUCGCACGCAAUCCAAUCCAAAAGUAUGGGAUGGAACUCAAUCAAUCCAGAGAACAAAAUACACAAGGACUAGACAAGCUGAAGUGAUUCAUUAGAAGGGGUGACCACAAAUCUUUAGACAUAUAGUGUAUAUACAUAUUAUAUUAACAGAGAGAAAAUCUGGUCGUAGGCUAUGUUUUCCUUUCAAUGGAAACUCUCCAGUGAAAAUGCUGUGUAGAACCAGACUAGGCUUAAUCCCUGUCUUGGAAAGCUGCUCCUAAGGUAUUUAAUGUAUUUGUGAUGUAUUUAUUUUUAAUUUAAGUGGCUAUGCGCUUAAGGUUUUCACUAAAAAAUGCUGAUUGUUUAUCUGAUUAGAUUUAAUAGCUCCAGAAAUACUUAUUUUUUGUUUUUUUGUGUUUUUGACUUUUUGACAUGCGAAUCUGGCAGUUGUUCUUCACAUUGUAGCAAAAUCUCACUAUGAAUCAUUUAAUAGAAAUGCUCCAAAAUGACUUGGAAUAAAUGAUUUAUAUACUGUUGAACAGACCAAUAAAAAUGUUCCAAAAUUAUUUGGAAUAAAAUUGUUUUAAAUUGUUCAAUGGACCAAUAGAAAGGCUCCACAAUUACUUGGAAUAAAAUAUUUUAAAUCGUUGAAAGGACCAAUAGAAAUGCUCCAA